rnacentral:rRNA from 1 species
AAGACCUUGCACUUUUGGAGCGGCCGAUGUCUGAUUAGCUAGUUGGUGGGGUAAUGGCCUACCAAAGCUUCGAUCAGUAGCUGGUCUGAGAGGACGGCCAGCCACACUGGGACUGAGACACGGCCCAGACUCCUACGGGAGGCAGCAGUGGGGAAUUUUGGACAAUGGGCGCAAGCCUGAUCCAGCCAUGCCGCGUGAGUGAAGAAGGCCUUCGGGUUGUAAAGCUCUUUCKGCCGGGAAGAAAAGGUUGCGACUAAUAAUCGCAAUCCAUGACGGUACCGAAAGAAGAAGCACCGGCUAACUACGUGCCASCAGCCGCGGUAAUACGUAGGGUGCGAGCGUUAAUCGGAAUUACUGGGCGUAAAGGGUGCGCAGGCGGUUUUGUAAGUCAGAUGUGAAAUCCCCGGGCUUAACCUGGGAACU